AUUGAACGCUGCGGAAUGCUUUACACAUGCAAGUCGAACGGCAGCACGGGGCGAACCUGGUGGCGAGUGGCGAACGGGUGAGUAAUACAUCGGAACGUGCCCAAUCGUGGGGGAUAACGUAGCGAAAGUUACGCUAAUACCGCAUACGAUCUACGGAUGAAAGCGGGGGAUCGCAAGACCUCGCGCGAGUGGAGCGGCCGAUGUCAGAUUAGGUAGUUGGUGGGGUAAAGGCUCACCAAGCCAACGAUCUGUAGCUGGUCUGAGAGGACGACCAGCCACACUGGAACUGAGACACGGUCCAGACUCCUACGGGAGGCAGCAGUGGGGAAUUUUGGACAAUGGGCGCAAGCCUGAUCCAGCCAUUCCGCGUGCAGGAUGAAGGCCUUCGGGUUGUAAACUGCUUUUGUACGGAACGAAACGGCGAGCUCUAAUACAGUUUGCUAAUGACGGUACCGUAAGAAUAAGCACCGGCUAACUACGUG
rnacentral:rRNA from 1 species